rnacentral:rRNA from 1 species
UACGGAGGGUGCGAGCGUUGUCCGGAAUCACUGGGCGUAAAGGGCGCGUAGGUGGCGCGAGGAGUCAACGGUGAAAGCCCGGGGCUCAACCCCGGGUCGGCCGUCGAUACUCUCGUGCUUGAGCACUGUAGAGGCAGGUGGAAUUCCGGGUGUAGCGGUGGAAUGCGUAGAGAUCCGGAAGAACACCGGUGGCGAAGGCGGCCUGCUGGGCAGUAGCUGACACUGAGGCGCGACAGCGUGGGGAGCAAACAGG